GGUUAAGUGACUAAGCGUACACGGUGGAUGCCUAGGCAGUCAGAGGCGAUGAAGGGCGUGCUAAUCUGCGAAAAGCGUCGGUAAGGUGAUAUGAACCGUUAUAACCGGCGAUACCCGAAUGGGGAAACCCAGUGUGUUUCGACACACUAUCAUGUCAUGAAUACAUAGUGGCAUGAGGCGAACCGGGGGAACUGAAACAUCUAAGUACCCCGAGGAAAAGAAAUCAACCGAGAUUCCCCCAGUAGCGGCGAGCGAACGGGGAGGAGCCCAGAACCUGAAUCGGCUUGUGUGUUAGUGGAAGCGUCUGGAAAGUCGCGCAGCAAAGGGUGAUAGCCCCGUACACUAAAAUGCACAGGUCGUGAGUUCGAUGAGUAGGGCGGGACACGUGACAUCCUGUCUGAAUAUGGGGGGACCAUCCUCCAAGGCUAAAUACUCCUGACUGACCGAUAGUGAACCAGUACCGUGAGGGAAAGGCGAAAAGAACCCCGGCGAGGGGAGUGAAAUAGAACCUGAAACCGUGUACGUACAAGCAGUGGGAGCACCUUCGUGGUGUGACUGCGUACCUUUUGUAUAAUGGGUCAGCGACUUAUAUUUUGUAGCAAGGUUAACCGUAUAGGGGAGCCGUAGGGAAACCGAGUCUUAACUGGGCGAUUAGUUGCAAGGUAUAGACCCGAAACCCGGUGAUCUAGCCAUGGGCAGGUUGAAGGUUGGGUAACACUAACUGGAGGACCGAACCGACUAAUGUUGAAAAAUUAGCGGAUGACUUGUGGCUGGGGGUGAAAGGCCAAUCAAACCGGGAGAUAGCUGGUUCUCCCCGAAAGCUAUUUAGGUAGCGCCUCGUGAACUCAUCUUCGGGGGUAGAGCACUGUUUCGGCUAGGGGGCCAUCCCGGCUUACCAAACCGAUGCAAACUCCGAAUACCGAAGAAUGUUAUCACGGGAGACACACGGCGGGUGCUAACGUCCGUCGUGAAGAGGGAAACAACCCAGACCGCCAGCUAAGGUCCCAAAGUCAUGGUUAAGUGGGAAACGAUGUGGGAAGGCAUAGACAGCCAGGAUGUUGGCUUAGAAGCAGCCAUCAUUUAAAGAAAGCGUAAUAGCUCACUGGUCGAGUCGGCCUGCGCGGAAGAUGUAACGGGGCUAAACCAUGCACCGAAGCUGCGGCAGCGACGCUUAGGCGUUGUUGGGUAGGGGAGCGUUCUGUAAGCCGUUGAAGGUGGCCUGUGAGGGUUGCUGGAGGUAUCAGAAGUGCGAAUGCUGACAUAAGUAACGAUAAAGCGGGUGAAAAGCCCGCUCGCCGGAAGACCAAGGGUUCCUGUCCAACGUUAAUCGGGGCAGGGUGAGUCGACCCCUAAGGCGAGGCUGAAAAGCGUAGUCGAUGGGAAACAGGUUAAUAUUCCUGUACUUGGUGUUACUGCGAAGGGGGGACGGAGAAGGCUAGGCUAGCCGGGCGACGGUUGUCCCGGUUUAAGCGUGUAGGGGGUGUGACCUGGUAAAUCCGGUUGCAUGCUAACCCUGAGGCGUGAUGACGAUGCACUACGGUGCAGAAGUAGUUGAUGCCCUGCUUCCAGGAAAAUCCUCUAAGCUCCAGGUAACAUUAAAUCGUACCCCAAACCGACACAGGUGGUCAGGUAGAGAAUACCAAGGCGCUUGAGAGAACUCGGGUGAAGGAACUAGGCAAAAUGGUGCCGUAACUUCGGGAGAAGGCACGCUGGCAUGUAGGUGAAGUCCCUUGCGGAUGGAGCUGAAGCCAGUCGAAGAUACCAGCUGGCUGCAACUGUUUAAUAAAAACACAGCACUGUGCAAACACGAAAGUGGACGUAUACGGUGUGACGCCUGCCCGGUGCUGGAAGGUUAAUUGAUGGGGUCAGCCGCAAGGCGAAGCUCUUGAUCGAAGCCCCAGUAAACGGCGGCCGUAACUAUAACGGUCCUAAGGUAGCGAAAUUCCUUGUCGGGUAAGUUCCGACCUGCACGAAUGGCGUAAUGAUGGCCAGGCUGUCUCCACCCGAGACUCAGUGAAAUUGAACUCGCUGUGAAGAUGCAGUGUACCCGCGGCAAGACGGAAAGACCCCGUGAACCUUUACUAUAGCUUGACACUGAACAUUGAGCCUUGAUGUGUAGGAUAGGUGGGAGGCUUUGAAGCGUGGACGCCAGUCUGCGUGGAGCCAUCCUUGAAAUACCACCCUUUAAUGUUUGAUGUUCUAACUCGGCCCCAUAAUCUGGGGUGAGGACAGUGUCUGGUGGGUAGUUUGACUGGGGCGGUCUCCUCCCAAAGAGUAACGGAGGAGCACGAAGGUUAGCUAAUCACGGUCGGACAUCGUGAGGUUAGUGCAAAGGCAUAAGCUAGCUUGACUGCGAGAGUGACGGCUCGAGCAGGUACGAAAGUAGGUCUUAGUGAUCCGGUGGUUCUGAAUGGAAGGGCCAUCGCUCAACGGAUAAAAGGUACUCCGGGGAUAACAGGCUGAUACCGCCCAAGAGUUCAUAUCGACGGCGGUGUUUGGCACCUCGAUGUCGGCUCAUCACAUCCUGGGGCUGAAGUAGGUCCCAAGGGUAUGGCUGUUCGCCAUUUAAAGUGGUACGCGAGCUGGGUUUAGAACGUCGUGAGACAGUUCGGUCCCUAUCUGCCGUGGGCGUUGGAAGAUUGAGAGGGGUUGCUCCUAGUACGAGAGGACCGGAGUGAACGCACCACUGGUGUUCGGGUUGUCAUGCCAAUGGCAUUGCCCGGUAGCUAAGUGCGGAAAAGAUAAGCGCUGAAAGCAUCUAAGCGCGAAACUUGCCUCAAGAUGAGUCUUCCCUGGGCCUU
rnacentral:rRNA from 1 species